UACAAACAUAAGGGUUUAUUUAUUUAAAUGCCAAAAACAAGGUAGUUAAUUAUAUAGAAUAAAAAUUUUGC
rnacentral:tRNA from 1 species